GAUGAACGCUGGCGGCGUGCCUAAUACAUGCAAGUCGAGCGAACGGACGAGAAGCUUGCUUCUCUGAUGUUAGCGGCGGACGGGUGAGUAACACGUGGAUAACCUACCUAUAAGACUGGGAUAACUUCGGGAAACCGGAGCUAAUACCGGAUAAUAUUUUGAACCGCAUGGUUCAAAAGUGAAAGACGGUCUUGCUGUCACUUAUAGAUGGAUCCGCGCUGCAUUAGCUAGUUGGUAAGGUAACGGCGUACCAAGGCAACGAUGCAUAGCCGACCUGAGAGGGUGAUCGGCCACACUGGAACUGAGACACGGUCCAGACUCCUACGGGAGGCAGCAGUAGGGAAUCUUCCGCAAUGGGCGAAAGCCUGACGGAGCAACGCCGCGUGAGUGAUGAAGGUCCUCGGAUCGUAAAACUCUGUUAUUAGGGAAGAACAUAUGUGUAAGUAACUGUGCACAUCUUGACGGUACCUAAUCAGAAAGCCACGGCUAACUACGUG
rnacentral:rRNA from 1 species